AUUUAAAAAUUCACCCUCAUUCAUUCUUCUUCUCUUCUUCUUUUUUCCUAUUCAUAUCUCUCUCUGCAACUCUUCACUCCUCCGUUCUCUACUUCACUCUAAAUUUCAGAAUUUUCAAAAAAUCCCUUAGUCACUGUUGCUGCUACCACUAUCUCGCCAAACCACCAUCAUCACAUGGACCAAGUCUCGAACCAAUCACCAUUACGCCACCCACAAGCCACCGUUGCGGCCUCUCUCUCCCCCAACGAUCUAUCAACCCCUGCUACGCCUUCACUUGCUCCACUGCCUAGCAUCUUCAAACUGCACCGCCGGCACUGUCACUUCUCAAUAAGUUUUCUCUCUGAUUUUUCAUGUAUAUUGGGAACACGAAAGAAAAUAAUUAUAAUUUGACAUUGCAAUCUUUUCGAUUUUUUUUUUUUUUUUGGUUAGUUAUGAGCUUAGGGAUUGAAAUCAGAUGGUGGGUUUUUUGGCUGUGGGAUUUGUGGGUUCUUUUAAUCUGGGUCUUUUUUUUUUUUUUGUAAAGUUGUGAUUUUUUUUUUUUUUCAUUCCCAUGGUGGUGAUUUGUACUGAGAGCCAAGAAAUUUUUGAUGGGUAUAUUGUUUUGCUCAGUAUUAUGGGUUGGGUUAUUUAUUUAUGAACUAGAACAGAAUUUUAAUGCUUCUUCAUUGUUGAACUUGAAAGGCACUAUGACUCUAUGAGUACCUUUAUUUAACUUAAGUUGGACAUAUAGGUGAUAUAUAUGGACAAUUUAGAGUCUUGAUUUUUUUUAGUAGGGUAUUGCAAAGAAGAUUGGGCAUAUCAAAAUCUGCUGGUGAUUAGAAUAAUUCAUUAUUACAAAACUUGCAUCAAUGUGAAGUUCUAAAUUUAUACAGUACUUUAAUGUAUUCAUUUGCAGUUAGAUGGCAUUAGAUUUGAUGAUGGAGAGUCUUCAUUGGAGGUCUCUCAAAGUUGAAAAGGUAGAUUUUGCAGUGCACAGGUACUGUAGCAUUAGCGGAAUGCUUACCUUUUGUACUUGUUGGUUGUGAUCUUGCUAGUAGUAAUCUGGGUUGGUUUUGAUGUAGCUUGUUGGAAAGCUAUAGCAAGAGCUAAAGACCAUGGGUGUGAUUCUUGUUGCAGUGAUACUAGGCAAUUUGACAAUGGUAGUAAACAAAAGGUUUGAUAGUUCAUGUACAGGCAAAAUUGGUUGUUUCUUUGCUAAGUUCAGUGUAUUCAUUGGCUAGCUAUGCUAGCUCUUGAUA